GCCUGCUCUCCUGACGUGUUGAGAUCCUGAAGCGAGUGCUCAGAGCAGCCAGACGUGCGCCCUGGUGGCUUGGCAAUGUCUGCUGUGGGUGUGGGUGGGGAGGCAGUGGCCUGCACCCUCCAGACACCACCUGAAGGCGGAGUCCUGGGGGCAAGGCUGGGAGUGGUUCUCAUGUCUGUAAGUCUGGCAUGGGGCCUGCAGCCAGGAGCUCGCCUAGUGGCUGAUGGAGGCUGGAGGGGCGGGCUGGGCAGGGCAGAGGGAGGAGGGAGCAGACCAAGGAGGGCCGCAGGGACCGGCCCCAAGGGUGAGAGGGCGGGCAGCCGGCCCCACUCCUGGCUGGGCUGGUUUCGCCUGGCUCUCUGCUCCUCCGCCAACUGGCUUGCUAUGACGUGGGCAUCCCCGAGCGGGCCCUGCAACGCUCGGCUCUCCUGGCAAUGGUGCCCCGGCCCCAGGCAUUCUGGAGCCAGAGAGCCAGCAGAUGAAGAAACUAAAGCACUCAGCUAAUCCUGCAGCAACCUGAACAGAGGCAGGGGCUCCUCUAUGGAGGAAGCACAACCUCCUGAAGCCCUGCUCCAGACUCAGCCAUGUCUACUGAGCAAGGGUGGGGACAGGAGCAGCCAGCCCGGUUCCAAGCCUGCCCUGUACUGAGCCUGUCCUGCUCCUUGCCGCUGGGAGACCUUGAGCAAAGCACACUCCUUGAUUUCCUCACUGCUAAGAUGGACAUCGGUGCUUUGUCCAUGGUCCAGAGUUGUCCCGAUGUUUCAAUGAGAUGCUGGGCACAGAGGUGUCCUGAAGACUGUGAAGAGCUGCCCAGGGACCAGCUUACCUCUGAGAGGGCAAGAGGAGGAGGUGAGUCUUCAUUGAGUACUUUAGAGGUUUGUCAAUUUUAUUGAACGUUUCAAGGAGCUAGCUUUUCAUUUCAUUGAUUUUCUCUGUUGUUUUUCUGCGUUCGAUUUUGUUGACUCCUGCUUUUAUUUUUAUUAUGUCCUUCCUUCUGCUUGCUUUCACUUUAUUCAGUCUCCUUUUUCUGGGUUCUCAAGGUGGAAGCUUAUUAUUGACUCGAAACUUUUCAUCUUUUCUAAUGUAGACACUUAGUGCUAUAAAAUUCCCUCUCCGCGCUGCUUUAGCUGUGUCCCACAGAGUUCAGUAUGUUGCACUUUGAUUUUUAUCUGGUUCAAUGUAUUUUUAUUUCCCUUUGGACUUCCACUCUGAUGUGUGGAUUAAGGGUUUGGAGAUUUUCCUGUUGCCUUUCUGUUAUUUAUUUCUCAUUGGAUUCCCUGGUGCUGGAGACUACACUACACUUCCAAUUUUUUUUAAUUUUUUGAGGUUUGUUUUAUGGGCCAAGAGAUGGCCUAUCUUGGGUUACGUUCUGCCGGCACUUGAGAAGAAAGUGUGUCUGUUGUGGUUGGGUGAAGGGUUCAGUGGAUGUUGGUUUGAGCCUGUUGCUGAGGAUGUUGUUACAUUCUUCUCUGUCCUCAUUUUCUGCUGGGUUGUUGUGCUGCUG
ensembl:lncRNA